rnacentral:lncRNA from 1 species
GUCUAAUAUAUCUUUAAUAAAACAUAAUAAAAUAAUGUCCUAAUGCACAGUGAAUCCAAAUGCAUCAUGCCUGAAGAGAAGCUUCCAAAAUGCCACAACCUUGAAAGCCUACACAAUUCCAAACAUCUUGAAUCUGGCAAUGAGUUUCCAUCAGAAUCAUGAUAGAAGGGUAAUACUUAAUGAAAUCUUUAAACUCAAUCAUAGCAAUGAUAGAUAAACAAAG